rnacentral:lncRNA from 1 species
AUGCAGAAGGGAGCCCAGAGCAUCAGGACACGCGCCCCACGCGGCACCCAGGGUCCUGCAGGCAGCUGGCGACCUCCAAGCAGGGGGAGUGUGGGCGCACAUGCCCCUGGGAGAGGUGGCCGGUGGGGUCCUCCUGUCAGAGCCGCAUCACAGCCUCCCAGGCAAGAGGGGCUCACGGGGUCCUCGCGGUGCCACCAAUCCUGCAGGAGCCACCCCGCGGCUCUGCACAUGCCGCCCUCCUCUCCAGAGCCCUCCUCCGGGGCCCCAGCUGAUCGUCAGUCCAGUUCCAGAAGCUCGAGGGCUGGCAGACUGGGCCUAGCAGGCCACACAGGAGCAACUGGACACGCUGCAAGGGGCCCUGGAGGAGAGCAGACGGCACAGCCAGGCCCUGGCCCAGAGAGGGAAGCUCCUAGAGGAGCAGGUCGCCCACCUGGAACGCAAAUGUCAGGAGGCCAAGGGCGCGCGGGAGCCCUUCCUGCAGGAGUGUAGCUGGAUUUUUAAAGACACAGGACUUCCUUUUUCAGUGGACAUGGACUCUUUGUUUUUCUCAUUGCUGAAGAAGAAAGGAGUCCUUAUUUUUGAAACGCUAUCCUCCUAUCACCGACCGCAUAACUUUCCGGGCAAGACAGGGCCACCAUGUCUCCCGGGCUCUGUAGGACCAGCCCCAAGGGCGAGAGCACAGGGAAGGAAGACAGGGAAGGGAGGGCUGGCCUGGAGGCCCUCAGAGAGGCCGCCCCCACCUGGCACAGGGGCCCACAGGGCAGGGGUAGCAGGGUAGUGGGGGGGGGCCUGGUUUGGAGAAGGGCUUGUGUUCUGCUCCUGCCCCAGCUGCUGACGGGCCCAUCGCCCGCCCAAGGACUUCCAGAAGGAGACCGUCCAUGUCAAGCACCCACAAGGCAUGACCUGGGGCAUCAGUUCCUUCCACCACAAGGAUCACCCACAAGGGAAAAAAGGAGCCCCUACCAGCCUUCCCGUUGAAACUGCUUGCUCCCUCAAUCACUGAUAUUUAACCCCCUGCCCUGGGACUGGCAUGGGGGGAGGGUCACCAAGAAGGGCACUCUACUUGGGCACUUUGCAGCUCGGAGGAAGACGGACAGUGGACACAGAAACUUGCUGAGACGGGGUCAGUGAGUGGGCAGGGCCUGGGAGCUGGUCGCGGGGGCCUGAGUGCCGGGGACCGAGGCUCUAUGAGGCAGGAGGAUGCCGGGAGGGGCAGGCCCAGGAGGCCACCCCAAGAGAUGGAGCCAGUCCCCCGCCCUGCCGGCUUGACACAGGCUGGCACCUUGGCCCUGUGCUCCUUCAGCCCCCUCCCCGCCUGCUCUCAGGGGACCCAGAGCCCUUUCCAGAGCCCUCGAUGUGCUCUGCAGAGUGAAGGCUAGCCUGACCCCACACCCCUGCCACAAGGCCACCGCGAGUUCCGCCGUCUGGGCUCUUGCAGAUGGAGCAGGAGAUGCUGAGGAGGGAAGGGGACAGGGCCCAGCCAGGGGUCGAGAAGGAACAAGGGCAGCAGGACGCGGACAGGGACCUGAGGCCAGACCAGCAGCUGCAGGUCAGCUGGGCCAGUGGGGCUUCGUGUGCCCUAGCCUGGGGGGUGGGCCAGGGCGGGUGCGUCCAGGUGGGUGUGGGUCUCAGAAGGGUGCCCACAUGCCCUCACGACCAUGCCUACACAGAUGGGAAGGACGGGCUGGACGGUCCCUACACUGGACAGAUAAGGAGACAUGGCCCCAGACGACAAUGGGGUCUACCAGGGUCACACCUCAAGUCCCAGACAGAAGUGGAACCAGGACCCAGGGCUCCAUGGACCCCUCCCAGUCUUCUCUCCGAGGCCCCGUGGUGGUGGUAGCAUGGUCAGGGACCUCAUUAGCCAAGCACGGACCAGAAGAGGGAGGCGUGUGGGAAGCACAGGGUCAGACAGGCCUAUGGGCAAGUCCAGGGGCUGCCCCUGUGCAUGUUGGGGGCAUCUCCCCUUCCCCUGCUGGGCAGACCCCUACGUCUAUGCAAGGAGUUGGCAAGGGGAGCAGGGGACAAGAGUCAGCCUGUGAAGCCAGUGGGACCCCCCCGGUCCAGCCAAGCAGAAACUAGGAUGCCAUUAAAACAGCUCUGAGGCCCACCCUGGCAGCCUAGGGAGGGCUCGAGGCCAGAGAAGGCCCAGGGGCUGAACGUGUGUGCUCACCCCUAGGUCUGCUUGCCAGUCCUGGGCUGGGGCCCGAGCCCGGCAGAGGGCAGUGAAGCCAGCUGGGGGCUAGAUGAAGGAAUAGCAGCCCUAAGGGGAGGGCAGGACACCUGCCCUGGGACUCCGCGCAGCUCUCAGGCAGGCGGGCAGCAGUGAGGUGCCCAGGUCCAGAGAGUGGAGCUGGAACCGGCCUGAGCCCCAUGGCCCUGGGAACCGGCAGCCCCACACCAGCGAGACCUGGCCCCGGAGGCCAAGCAGUGUCACGGGGUCUGGCUGCUGGCUGCACAGGUCCUGGAGGAGCACAUGGGGCCAGACCUCCGUGUCCAGGCGGAGAGAGGGGUGCAGAGGGAACCAGCAUCCUGCAGUGGCACCCGCGGCCUAAGGCCUUCCGGCAGUGGGAUCCCGGCACAGCCGCCCAUGGGCUCCAACCACCCCCGGGACUCUCACACUUCCAUCCGGUCACUCCCACCGCUCACUGAGGGGCGGAGCGAGGAUCCUAGGACAGGUCACCACUCUCUCUGUGCCCUUAAGGGGAGUGGUGGGGACAGUUCCUGGGUCAGAGGUCACUGCGUUUAAGUGUCCAGCAGCGCCUGGCACAUGGCAGUUGGAGCAAAGGUGGUCCCUGCACCUGUCCUUCAGAGUCACGAGGGGAGAACAGUGGCAUAUGUGGCCUUGGGCGUGGACCCACUCUGCCCCCCUCCCCGCCACGCACCUGCUGGGGCUGACCCUCGGGCUCUGAGCCAUCAGGCACCUGGGAGCCCUCGGUCAAAACCCUCAUUUUACAGCUGAGGGAACUGAGACCCAGAAAGGUAGAGUGACCACCCAGUGCCACCCCCAAAUUAGUGUUCCUAACCCCCCGAGCCCCAUUUGCCAAACCGUGAAGCCAAGGAGCAUGUAUUUCCUUAUUACCCUGAGUGCUUUUGCUGCCUGCGUGGAGCAGGGGGUCUGUCCACUGCAGGCAUGCAAGUCCCUCAGUCCCUAGGACCCGCACACGUGGUUGGCGUCCCCGUCUGGCAGCUGGCGAGCCCGUCGGCCUGCCUAAUGUUUCUCUCCCACACACGCCCCCUCCCCUCAGCAGCCACAGAGCUCUGCACACCCCGUGCCGGGGGGCCCUGGCCGCGGGGCCUGCCCUCCCCACCCAAGCUCCUGCCCUGUCCCCAGGUGGUCAGUCUGAAGAAGCAGCUGGACCAGGAGGUGCCUCGGCAGCAACGAGCCCGCCUCGGCCAGGCUUCCCAGGCCGAACAGUGAGCCCUGCUGCAGAAUGCCCCCUGGGCGGCCUGCCCACCACAGCCGUGACCAGCCAGAGGCAACGGAGCCCCCGCCAGGAACACAGAGGCCUCGUGCCAUCCCGAGAGCGUGGUGCGGGCAGCCACAGCCCGGAGCCCACCACACCUUCCCCAGGGGCCCUGUGUCAGAGGCACCCUGCGACCACUGAGCACAGAGCUCCUCCCGGCCCUUGGGACCCCGUGCUCCAGGACGCCCCUCGGCCACGCCCCCCCGCUGCACGGAGCCCCCACAGCCCGCACCCGGCCUGGCACUGUUUCCACUCAGGACGCGCUGAUCUGGGCAGACCCUGGUAGCCAGGCCCCGUCCGGCCAGCUUCCGUGGCCACAGGCUGCAUUCCAUGCCCUCAGCUCUAUAAACACGGGGAAACACGUGGAACAUGUUUCCACCAACUGGAGCCAAAAACAUAAUGUCCUGCGAGGCCCAGCCACCACUUCCCUCCGUCCAGAGGCCGCGGGACCUUCUGUAUCCAGGAACUGCAGGCCCGUCCCAGUGGCAGGUGGCUGGAAAUGACUCAGAAGCAAGUCCCCGUGACUCCCUGGCCACGAGAAGUGCCGGCCUGUGAAAGUUAGAGCGCUCCCGAGCCUCCCACUUCUCCAGCCUAAAAACUCUGGGAAAUUCCUGCGGGAACCCAGCCCGGUUGCUGCGGAGAACGAGGCCGCCAUCUCGGGCCUCUGCGGGGUUCACCUGUCGGCAUUUUUACUCACGCCCCCAUUAACACUGGUCAGAGUGACUUGCUCUCCUGUCCCAACGGCAUCUCCUGUUUUGUAAGUGGCGCAUUCACAGUGUGGGGGGCAGCGGGCCGUGCGGGGCACUCCUGUGGGCACGGGAGCUGGCUGCCCUCCAGGCUGUGGGAAGGGCCACGGGCCCGUGGAGCCCACCUCAGCGCGGGCACCGCACCCAACAGGCUGUCCCGUCCGACUUGGCCUUCCGCGUGAACACAGCAACGGUGUGAGCGCGUGUGGUGAAGUGUGCAAAAGCAGGGGCUAGAGAGAGGUCGGCCACGGGCCUCCCGCUCUGCCCGGUUAUCGGUGCCUGGGUUGAGAAGGAUUCUGAAGUUCAGCUCAGGCUCAGAGGGGAAGAGCAGAGUGACCGUUAACAACGGUUGCUGUGGGCAGAGGGGCUGUUGGUGCUGGUGUCCGCACCUGACACGGGCCAGUCAGGGCAGAUCGCAACCAGGGGAGGGGAGCAGGCGGGUGCACCCCUCCUGCUGGAGAGCGUCCUGCAGAACAGGGAAGGGUGGCAGCAGACGGCCCCGCUCCCAGAGGAAGGAUGGUAGAAGAUGGUGGGGGGGUGCGGGGGAAGGGACAAGAAGCUGGAGAUGCGAGUGUGUGGGCGCUUUCCUCUCUGCCUGCCCGUGGCACCCUGGACCGUCACACGUGCCCUCCCCUGGGACUGAAGCCCCCAGCCCAGAAGAGCUACCUGAUAAGUGCUCAUGGGUUAGAGGGGGUGCCCUGCAGAUGCCAAACAGGUCAGGGUGGGUCCUCGGUGUUCAAAUGAAAGCCCCCCAUAACCCGCCGGCAUACUCUGUGGCGAUGUCUGUGUUUUCCCCACAUGCACAUGAGGGACGUUCAAAGCACCUGUGAGACCUCCGAGACGUGUGUAUUUUAACAAAUAGUUUGGUCCAUGGAGAUGCUAUUUCUGUUUAUUCAACAUAAAGCCAUAUACUUAGGAAG